rnacentral:rRNA from 1 species
UACGUAGGGGGCAAGCGUUGUCCGGAAUUAUUGGGCGUAAAGAGCUCGUAGGCGGUCUGUCGCGUCUGCUGUGAAAACUCGGGGCUUAACCCCGGGCCUGCAGUGGGUACGGGCAGACUAGAGGUAGGUAGGGGAGAAUGGAAUUCCCGGUGUAGCGGUGAAAUGCGCAGAUAUCGGGAGGAACACCGGUGGCGAAGGCGGUUCUCUGGGCCUUACCUGACGCUGAGGAGCGAAAGCGUGGGGAGCGAACAGG